UGUCCCUACGGGACGCAGCAGUAGGGAAUUUUCGUCAAUGGGCGCAAGCCUGAACGAGCGAUGCCGCGUGAGUGAAGAAGGCCUUCGGGUCGUAAAGCUCUGUUGCGGGGGAAAAAAGGCAGCAUCAGGAAAUGGGCGCUGACUGAUGGUGCCCCGCCAGAAAGUCACGGCUAACUACGUGGCAGCAGCCGCGGUAAUACGUAGGUGGCGAGCGGUAUACGGAAUGAUUGGGCGUAAAGG
rnacentral:rRNA from 1 species